GCCAACCCGAUGUGGAUUGCCGCCGCAGGCGGUGGUGCCGUCGCCGAAGCACGGCGAAGCCGCCGUGCCAGAAUUUUGAUAUUGGCCGAAAGGGGCCCUAGGUCUGAUUUGGGAUUUUUUGGGACACGUGCAGGUACCGGUAGUGCGUUUCAGUUUGCUGAAAAAAAUUCAGAGAAAUUAGGGACAGCCCGUAGGCGCACUGUAGAGCCGAUUUCAGACUCCGAAAUAAGUAAGGACCCCUCACCCUAUUUCCUAUCACGGUAUUAAAGCUUAAUAAAUAAUUAAACGGUAUUUUGUGACUUUA
rnacentral:lncRNA from 1 species